CAGUCGCCGCGGUAAUACGUAGGUGGCAAGCGUUGUCCGGAAUUAUUGGGCGUAAAGGGCUCGCAGGCGGUUUCUUAAGUCUGAUGUGAAAGCCCCCGGCUCAACCGGGGAGGGUCAUUGGAAACUGGGAAACUUGAGUGCAGAAGAGGAGAGUGGAAUUCCACGUGUAGCGGUGAAAUGCGUAGAAAUGUGGAGGAACACCAGUGGCGAAGGCGACUCUCUGGUCUGUAACUGACGCUGAGGAACGAAAGCGUGGGGAGCGAACAGGAUUAGAUACCCCCGUAGUCCCUGUCUCUUAUAC
rnacentral:rRNA from 1 species